UACAGAGGUCUCAAGCGUUGUUCGGAUUCAUUGGGCGUAAAGGGCGCGUAGGCGGCGGGGUAAGUCGGGUGUGAAAUCUCAGAGCUCAACUCUGAAACUGCACUCGAUACUGCUCUGCUUGAGGACUGGAGAGGAGACUGGAAUUCCUGGUGUAGCGGUGAAAUGCGCAGAUAUCAGGAGGAACACCGAUGGCGAAGGCAGGUCUCUGGGCCGAUACUGACGCUGAGGAGCGAAAGCGUGGGGAGCGAACAGG
rnacentral:rRNA from 1 species